rnacentral:rRNA from 1 species
UACGUAGGGAGCAAGCGUUGUCCGGAAUUACUGGGUGUAAAGGGAGCGUAGGCGGGUUUGUAAGUUGAAUGUGAAAUCUAUGGGCUCAACCCAUAAACUGCGUUCAAAACUGCAGAUCUUGAGUGGAGUAGAGGCAGGCGGAAUUCCUAGUGUAGCGGUGAAAUGCGUAGAUAUUAGGAGGAACACCAGUGGCGAAGGCGGCCUGCUGGGCUCUAACUGACGCUGAGGCUCGAAAGCGUGGGUAG